UCAGAUGCUUUAAAGCCAUUAAGAUCCACUGUGUGAUCCCUUUCACAAGACAGGCAGAGCGUAGUCGGGCGCAUCUCAUGUAAAGUCAGGUAUGAAUUUUUGCUUAGUAGAUUGAGAUCUCCAUGUGCACAUUUCUAUUUUAUUGUUUGUCUGUUUAUUUCAUGAAUCAAUGAAUGAGACUCCACAUGUAAAUCACUGAUUUUUUUUUUUUUACUCUAAUUGUAGUUUGUAACCCUUUAUUGGCUGGGGUGCACAAGGGAGGGAGUUGCAGAGGGAACUAUAGUAUUAGCAAUACAGCUUAGUAUUCCUAACACUGUAGUAUCCCUUUAAUGAUUCUAACUGUAUUUAUUGUACUUGCAGCAUUCACCAAACACAUGAGAAAAGGAAGAAACAUGAGGAGGCUACCAGUGAGCAAAAUUCCUCUAGAAAACACCAAUCUGAUCAUCUUUUAAGAAGUGCAAUUUUUGGACAUUGUAACCCCUAAGAUCUGAGAGAUAGAACGUGGACCUUCAC